AUUGAACGCUGGCGGCAGGCCUAACACAUGCAAGUCGAGCGGCAGCGGGAAAGUAGCUUGCUACUUUUGCCGGCGAGCGGCGGACGGGUGAGUAAUGCCUGGGAAAUUGCCCAGUCGAGGGGGAUAACAGUUGGAAACGACUGCUAAUACCGCAUACGCCCUACGGGGGAAAGCAGGGGACCUUCGGGCCUUGCGCGAUUGGAUAUGCCCAGGUGGGAUUAGCUAGUUGGUGAGGUAAUGGCUCACCAAGGCGACGAUCCCUAGCUGGUCUGAGAGGAUUAACAGCCAAACUGGAAAUGAGACAAGGUCCAGACUCCUACGGGAGGCAGCAGUGGGGAAUAUUGCACAAUGGGGGAAACCCUGAUGCAGCCAUGCCGCGUGUGUGAAGAAGGCCUUCGGGUUGUAAAGCACUUUCAGCGAGGAGGAAAGGUUGUUGGCUAAUAUCCAACAGCUGUGACGUUACUCGCAGAAGAAGCACCGGCUAACUCCGUGCCAGCAGCCGCGGUAACAC
rnacentral:rRNA from 1 species